GGACCCUUAGCUCAGUCGGUAGAGCAUCGGUCUCCAAAACCGAGGGUCAUAGGUUCGAGUCCUCUAGCGUCCGCCA
rnacentral:tRNA from 1 species